UAGGAGAAAACGGUGAUGACAUCUUUUUGGCCAGAUGGAACUGAUGGAAGAUUUAUGGAGCAGCUGAGAACUGUCAGAGCCAGCCCUAUCUACCCAGUCAUCAGUGAGGUUAUCCCAAUACCCCACCAGCUGCUGCCACCCAAUCUCCCCCCUUGCCCCAGUCUGGCACCCAGGGCCCUCCCAGAGUGGGAAACCUCAUCCAAUGCCUUCUCAGUUACAGAGAUUUCAGAAAUUAGUCACAGAAAGGAGGGCGGGAAGAGAGUGGAGGUUUCCCGAAGGAGCCGGUAACAGUAUCUGGGGUCUUU
rnacentral:lncRNA from 10 species